AACGCGAAGAACCUUACCAAGGCUUGACAUAUACGAGAACACCGUAGAAAUACGGGACUCUUUGGACACUCGUAAACAGGUGGUGCAUGGUUGUCGUCAGCUCGUGUCGUGAGAUGUUGGGUUAAGUCCCGCAACGAGCGCAACCCUCGUUCUAUGUUGCCAGCACGUAAUGGUGGGAACUCAUGGGAUACUGCCGGGGUCAACUCGGAGGAAGGUGGGGAUGACGUCAAAUCAUCAUGCCCCUUAUGUCUUGGGCUUCACGCAUGCUACAAUGGCCGGUACAAAGGGCUGCAAUACCGCGAGGUGGAGCGAAUCCCAAAAAGCCGGUCCCAGUUCGGAUUGAGGUCUGCAACUCGACCUCAUGAAGUCGGAGUCGCUAGUAAUCGCAGAUCAGCAACGCUGCGGUGAAUACGUUCCCGGGCCUUGUACACACCGCGCAUA
rnacentral:rRNA from 1 species